rnacentral:rRNA from 1 species
UAGGGAAUCUUCCACAAUGGACGAAAGUCUGAUGGAGCAACGCCGCGUGAGUGAAGAAGGGUUUCGGAUCGUAAAGCUCUGUUGGUAGUGAAGAAAGAUAGAGGUAGUAACUGGCCUUUAUUUGACGGUAAUUACUUAGAAAGUCACGGCUAACUACGUGCC